rnacentral:rRNA from 1 species
CGAUGAUCCGGUGCUUGCACCGGGGAUUAGUGGCGAACGGGUGAGUAACACGUGAGUAACCUGCCCUUGACUCUGGGAUAAGCCUGGGAAACUGGGUCUAAUACCGGAUAUGACUCCUCAUCGCAUGGUGGGGGGUGGAAAGCUUUUGUGGUUUUGGAUGGACUCGCGGCCUAUCAGCUUGUUGGUGAGGUAAUGGCUCACCAAGGCGACGACGGGUAGCCGGCCUGAGAGGGUGACCGGCCACACUGGGACUGAGACACGGCCCAGACUCCUACGGGAGGCAGCAGUGGGGAAUAUUGCACAAUGGGCGCAAGCCUGAUGCAGCGACGCCGCGUGAGGGAUGACGGCCUUCGGGUUGUAAACCUCUUUCAGUAGGGAAGAAGCGAAAGUGACGGUACCUGCAGAAGAAGCGCCGGCUAACUACGUGCCAGCAGCCGCGGUAAUACGUAGGGCGCAAGCGUUAUCCGGAAUUAUUGGGCGUAAAGAGCUCGUAGGCGGUUUGUCGCGUCUGCCGUGAAAGUCCGGGGCUCAACUCCGGAUCUGCGGUGGGUACGGGCAGGCUAGAGUGAUGUAGGGGAGACUGGAAUUCCUGGUGUAGCGGUGAAAUGCGCAGAUAUCAGGAGGAACACCGAUGGCGAAGGCAGGUCUCUGGGCAUUAACUGACGCUGAGGAGCGAAAGCAUGGGGAGCGAACAGGAUUAGAUACCCUGGUAGUCCAUGCCGUAAACGUUGGGCACUAGGUGUGGGGAACAUUCCACGUUUUCCGCGCCGUAGCUAACGCAUUAAGUGCCCCGCCUGGGGAGUAC